rnacentral:rRNA from 1 species
UACGAAGGGUGCAAACGUUGCUCGGAAUUAUUGGGCGUAAAGCGCACGUAGGCGGCUUUGCAAGUCGGAUGUGAAAUCCCUCGGCUUAACCAAGGAAGUGCAUCCGAAACUGCAGAGCUUGAGUACUUAAGAGGAUCGCGGAAUUCCCGGUGUAGAGGUGAAAUUCGUAGAUAUCGGGAGGAACACCAGUGGCGAAGGCGGCGAUCUGGGAAGAUACUGACGCUGAGGUGCGAAAGCGCGGGGAGCAAACAGG